UGGGGAAUAUUGCACAAUGGGCGAAAGCCUGAUGCAGCAACGCCGCGUGAGUGAUGAAGGCCUUCGGGUUGUAAAGCUCUGUCUUCUGGGACGAUAAUGACGGUACCAGAGGAGGAAGCCACGGCUAACUACGUGCCAGCAGCCGCGGUAAUACGUGGGUGGCAAGCGUUGUCCGGAUUUACUGGGCGUAAAGGAUGCGUAGGCGGAUACUUAAGUCAGAUGUGAAAAUCCCGGGCUUAACUUGGGAACUGCAUUUGAAACUGGGUAUCUAGAGUGCGGGAGAGUAAAGUGGAAUUCCUAGUGUAGCGGUGAAAUGCGUAGAGAUUAGGAAGAACACCAGUGGCGAAGGCGACUUUCUGGACCGUAACUGACGCUGAGGCAUGAAAGCGUGGGGAGCAAACA
rnacentral:rRNA from 1 species